UGGGGAAUAUUGCGCAAUGGGCGGAAGCCUGACGCAGCGACGCCGCGUGCGGGAUGAAGGCCUUCGGGUUGUAAACCGCUUUCACCAGGGACGAAGCUAACGUGACGGUACCUGGGGAAGAAGCGCCGGCUAACUACGUGCCAGCAGCCGCGGUAAUACGUAGGGCGCGAGCGUUGUCCGGAAUUAUUGGGCGUAAAGAGCUCGUAGGCGGCUGGUUGCGUCUGCUGUGAAAUCCCGGGGCUUAACCCCGGGCGUGCAGUGGAUACGGGCCGGCUGGAGGCAGGCAGGGGAGAAUGGAAUUCCCGGUGUAGCGGUGAAAUGCGCAGAUAUCGGGAGGAACACCGGUGGCGAAGGCGGUUCUCUGGGCCUGUACUGACGCUGAGGAGCGAAAGCGUGGGGAGCGAAC
rnacentral:rRNA from 1 species